rnacentral:rRNA from 1 species
AGCGAACGCUGGCGGCAGGCCUAACACAUGCAAGUCGAACGAACUCUUCGGAGUUAGUGGCGGACGGGUGAGUAACACGUGGGAACGUGCCUUUAGGUUCGGAAUAACUCAGGGAAACUUGUGCUAAUACCGAAUGUGCCCUUCGGGGGAAAGAUUUAUCGCCUUUAGAGCGGCCCGCGUCUGAUUAGCUAGUUGGGGAGGUAAAGGCUCACCAAGGCGACGAUCAGUAGCUGGUCUGAGAGGAUGAUCAGCCACAUUGGGACUGAGACACGGCCCAAACUCCUACGGGAGGCAGCAGUGGGGAAUCUUGCGCAAUGGGCGAAAGCCUGACGCAGCCAUGCCGCGUGAAUGAUGAAGGUCUUAGGAUUGUAAAGUUCUUUCACCGGGGACGAUAAUGACGGUACCCGGAGAAGAAGCCCCGGCUAACUUCGUGCCAGCAGCCGCCGUAACAC